ACAGCAGACAGCAACAUGCUGAUCCACCAUUUCAUAUGGAGAUACUGUACAUCCUUCCUUUUUCCUGUUUUGGAGGAUAAACAAAUGUGUCUUGUAUGAGCAGCAGGAGAAUUUUGGUCAUUGAAAUAAGUUGUUUUGGAUAAAUCCAGUUUUGCAAGUCUUCUUUGAAAAUGUCAAGACGUGCUUGGAAUGGCGCAUUUCUACUCUGCUUUCUGUGAGAAUGUUGGGAUCUGGCAAUGCUAUUAGAGUCUAAAGUGUCCUUGCAAGGCUACAGCAGAGUGGAACUGAAGAGCACCUGUGUCCCAGCACUUUUCAUUCUCCAUCAUCCCCUAGAAUUUGAAUAUAACUGGACUGAAGUUACAAGGAAGAAUUGGAUGGAGCCAGUAGGGUUAACACUGAUACUAACAGGAGAUUACUAGCCAUAAGAAAAUUACAGCUCUUCUGAAAGACAGUGCCUAAAAUAGCAGCAUAUCCUUGGCACCAUCAUAGGAACUGGUUAACUGAUGACCCUGAAGAAACACUUGUUUCCAUUAAUUCUGCUGUCAUUAUUUCACUAUUCUCGACUCUUCCUCUCAAUUCUUCUGUCCUUCUGAUCCCAAGACAAGAUGGCAGGAACGUGAGAGAGAACAUAAAUUACAGUAAGCUGUCAGCCAUAUAAUUGUAUUGUAACCUACUACACUGAGAAGUUACACCAACAGAAAUUUGGCAAGGUAUUGGCUGCUAGUUGCUAACUAAACACGGGACACUCACUAGUAUAACAUUUAAAAAAAAAAAAAAAGAAAAAAAGAAAAAAAAAUAGGCUCACUAAAAAGCAACAUCUACAUUACAAGGAAGCUAACAAAAGAAUUCCCUUAUGAUAUCUAGGUUCAGCUGGUUCAUCUUAGGUUCAUCAGCUCAAUUUUCUUGUUUUAUGUAUACGCAUUACAUUUGCAGUUGAAGAUAUUUUUAAGAUCACAAUGCUACAAACCUUUUUCUGGCAUGUAGUUUCGCCACCUUUAGUUAGACAACACGUGACACAAAGAAGUAC